CGCGGGGUGGAGCAGUCUGGUAGCUCGUCGGGCUCAUAACCCGGAGGUCGCAGGUUCAAAUCCUGCCCCCGCUCCCA
rnacentral:tRNA from 1 species